UACGUAGGGUGCGAGCGUUGUUCGGAUUUACUGGGCGUACAGGGAGCGUAGGCGGUUGGAUAAGCCCUCCGUGAAAUCUCCAGGCUUAACCUGGAAAGUGCAGAGGGGACUGUUCAGCUAGAGGAUGGGAGAGGAGCGCGGAAUUCCCGGUGUAGCGGUGAAAUGCGUAGAUAUUGGGAGGAACACCAGUGGCGAAGGCGGCUCACUGGACCGGUACUGACGCUGAAGCGCGAAAGCGUGGGGAGCAAACAGG
rnacentral:rRNA from 1 species